rnacentral:tRNA from 1 species
GCCCACGUGGUGGAAUUGGUAGACGCGCUAGCUUCAGGUGCUAGUGAUCGCAAGGUCGUGGAGGUUCGAGUCCUCUCGUGGGCACCA